rnacentral:rRNA from 1 species
UACGGAGGGUGCGAGCGUUGUCCGGAAUCACUGGGCGUAAAGGGCGCGUAGGCGGCCUGGUAAGGUGGUGGUGAAAGCCCGGGGCUCAACCCCGGGUCGGCCAUGACGACUGCCAGGCUGGAGCCCACUAGGGGCAGGCGGAAUUCCGGGUGUAGCGGUGGAAUGCGUAGAGAUCCGGAAGAACACCGGUGGCGAAGGCGGCCUGCUGGGGUGGAAGACAGACGUUCGUGUCUGUCGGCUGACGCUGAGGCGCGACAGCGUGGGGAGCAAACAGG